GAUAAAGACAACUCUGACAAUUGUUGAAGGAGAACGAGACCGAUAUAAGGCAAAACUACUGGCUGAAGAAAAUUCCAGACACCAACUGGAAGAGCAAAUACAAAAGCUGGAGCAUGGUCAUGCUUCUUUGAAAAGCGAGAAGUCCCAUCUCGAAAUUGAAUUCAAGACCAUGGAACAGAAACUGGACAUCAUGGAUAAGUUGUACCAACAGAAAGAGAAUGCACUCCAGCAAAAACUAACACAGGAAGAGUAUGAGCGUCGUGAAAAGGAGCAGAAACUAUCUGAAGUCGAUAGCAAGGCUGUGCAAGCACGAGAAGAAUUAAAGAUUUACAAGCAAAGAAUUCAAGAAAUCGG